AUCCUGAGUUUGGCAUUGAUCAGGGAUGGUGUUGAUGCUGUAGAACAAGUCACUGAGCCAAACAACGUCCAGCUUUCCGUUUCCUUAUAGCUCAGAGCAUUCGUGGCUGUGAAGAGUUACUGAAUGAUGUUCUGUCGCCUGAAAACUCCGAGCCUCAGCACUAUGAGCUGCAGUAUGAUGAUUACUAUUACCAGUGCCUCUGUGAGUUGAGGAGAAAACAACCAAACAAAAAACAAGACGGCAGUGGCUGUAAGCUCCAUCUCUUAGGGAAACUGUGGGAUCGUCAUCUUACUACAUCUCAUCUUACUACGAGAUGAAAAUUCACCAGAAUGAAAUGCAGUGGAAAAUAUUGAGUUGUCACCCUCUGGUGCUGCAGAAAAUUGGCUUCUUGUCUGUUCCUGCUACAGAGCAGAGCUGAGGAGAGUCGGUACCUUGCUGGAUAUCAAUAUGAAUGCCAACAGGGGUGAAUGGGAACACAAAUCGCAGAGAUAGAGCGAUGUGCCCAGGCUGGAAAUUGGAUUGUUUUGAUGUCUGUAUUGAGUCAUUCAGUUUGGAAUACAAUUCAUGUUUCAGCUGAUAAGACUGUCCAUGUGUGACUUUCAAAUUAAAAUCUGUAUGUUCUUACUGAGAUUGGACUUGUGUACAU